rnacentral:rRNA from 1 species
UACGACGUAUCAGAGUUUGAUCCUGGCUCAGGACGAACGCUGGCGGCGUGCCUAACACAUGCAAGUCGAACGGAACUCAUUGGAACAAGCUUCGGCAAGGGAAUUUGAGUUUAGUGGCGAACGGGUGAGUAACGCGUGAGCAACCUGCCUUUCAGAGGGGGACAACAGUUGGAAACGACUGCUAAUACCGCAUAACACAUCGAGGGGGCAUCCUCUUGAUGUCAAAGAUUUAUCGCUGAAAGAUGGGCUCGCGUCUGAUUAGCUAGUUGGUGAGGUAACGGCUCACCAAGGCGACGAUCAGUAGCCGGACUGAGAGGUUGAACGGCCACAUUGGGACUGAGAUACGGCCCAG